rnacentral:lncRNA from 1 species
UUUUUUUUUUCUUUUAUCAAUUACAAGUAACCUUUAGAUAAUAACACACAUCCGCGUAAAGAACAAUUGAAACGGUUCCUGUUAAGUAUAACGGAUGUGAGGGGUUCUAAUACUUUCCCCUUUCAUAAUCGACCUCCUUACCUUUUUUAUCUUCCCCUUGGGUUUUAUCGAUAUUUUCUCUUUCCUUUGGGAAUAAAUAAAGUUCGAUGGAGACUUUGUUGUAUCUUCGAGCGUAGGAUUUUC